GUAUGAUGAUGGCUACGGGGCUGAAUAUGAUGACCAGACCUAUGAGACGUAUGAUAACAGCUAUGCCACCCAAACACAAAGUGUGCCUGAGUAUUAUGACUACGGUCAUGGAGUAAGUGAGGAUGCCUAUGACAGCUACGCACCAGAAGAAUGGGCCACGACCCGCUCCAGCCUGAAGGCACCACCACCAAGGUCAGCCAGAGGGGUAUUCAGGGAGCACCCCUAUGGUAGAUAUUGAAGGUCCUUCCCACCGUGACCUCACCUCAAAGACAAUUCAUAGCCUGUGGUCUCCACAUAAACAGCAACAAUACAAGUACACACAAGCAAAGAUCACAUAAUUGAACAGCAGAAGUGAUGGGCUAAGAAGGAUAAAGGAAAGGGCGCAGUAACAUCCGCGUGGACCAACACCAACCAGCAUGCAGGUUAUCAGUGCGUGCAACGUGGAAAGGGGAGAAGAUCAGCUGCUACCUGCCGCCAACAGCUGCAAAACUUCAAUCCAGCUAGGAAACAGAGAGGGGAAAAAAUACAUUCCUGAGUUGACGGAGGAACUGCUGACCAAAAUUAAUCUGAAUUGGGUGGACUUGAAGUUAUCUGUGUGCAAGCUCCAUACAUUCUAUCAGACGAUGCUGUCACUUGGUACGCGGAAGAUCCUACAACAACAAGGAGCUCACCAAAACACCAAAGCAAAUACAGGACAUUCACCUGUUGAAUAUGUCUGGAACUCCUGCUGUGUGUCCCAGAAUCACUUUCAUAGGCCAUUGUAUUUUUCCUGUCACUUCCACCAGAAGAUAUUAUUUACUACUUCGGAAAAUUUCUGUGUGUCCAGUGUUGGGUAAUGAAAAAAUAUUUACACCAGCCUCUCACAGUGUGAAGAUGUGAGAUCCAAAAACCGAAAGCUGGAAUACAUCGGACACUGACUGUGUGGAGGGUCAAAGAUUUUAACAAUGGAGUUGAGAAAACAGAGAGAAAUUAAAUAGCAUUGUCCUACUCUCAAAGUGGACAAAUCUGAAUCCUAACAAAGGUCUGACUCUAUAACAACAUAUGCCAGAAGAUGAUAUACUAUCUUCCGAUUUGCUGGCCAAAGAACAAGAGGCUUUGGAUUGGAACCAACAGAACCAGUGAGCCAGUUUACCAGCACACCGCUGCAUUACAUGCACAUUGUACAAGAAGAGGCCGGGGUCUCUGUGGUUGUGUCUCUGGGACUAAGAUUAUUGCUUUCUGGGUAAUUAUGUUUUCUUGACCACAACUUGCUAUGACCACUUAACACCCAAGCCUAACACAGAGCGUGGCACAUUGUAGCAUCAUGCUAAUUGAUUUUCAUCAUUAAAAGAUCCUCAAAUGGCAGCUGAAUUAUCAAAACCUUCAAAGAAAGUAUGCAUUGAACUUAGUGUUGCUUGAUUGACAGUGAAAUGGUUAUGUGCAAGAUCAGUAGUCACAUUUCCAACAGCGCACCAAGCAUGUGGAAUAGCAGUCCCCUGCCGGCUCCACAGCUCAGAUGUCCACCAUGGCUAGCAGCACCGAAAGAUGGAGCUCAGAGACCACCUCCUCUUUCCUAGUCAUCGGGAUCAGUCUGUCCAGUGAUGAAUUUGAGGUGAUCGAUCCCUGAGAAAAAUGGCCCUGUCAAAAAGUAGCUUCUACCAACAGGAAGAUCAAAAGUUGCCAUCCUCGUAGGGAUUGAACCUAGAGCACACGCACCAACAACUAUACAUAUAAACUAAGGUACUCUCCUCCAAAGAUAAUCCUGUUUUCCAUGGAAGACCGUGGGACUUCCAGUAGUUGGAGCUGGGGGCCGUCACCUGAAAGCAGUCAUACAUCUGUGUUUUUGCUCUUUCAUUUCUGAAAUCAAUUUAGGUUCAAGUAUGAGCGUCAGUAAUCAGACCCUGUCAUACAUCUGUAAUAUUUGAAAAUAAA